UACAUACUCCCUUCCGUCUGGAAACAAGUGAUUCGACUUUGUCUAGAUUUGUAUAUAGCUAGACGUGUUUUAUUGUAUAGAUAAAUGUGAACUUAAACAAAUUCGAGUCACUUAUUUUCAGAUGGAAGAAGUACAUU
rnacentral:pre_miRNA from 1 species